rnacentral:piRNA from 1 species
UGAGCAACAAACGAUUCUCGAAUCAGGCA